CGUCCUGUAGCUCAGCGGUUAGAACACUCGCCUCUGAAGCGAGAGGCCUGGGUUCGAUUCCCAGUAGGGUGA